rnacentral:lncRNA from 1 species
CGCCAUGGUGACUUGCAAGCAACUCACUGCACUUAGGCACUGGACUACCUGAAUUUUUAAUUCAGUGACGGAUGGCUGCUGGGUGUAGUCAAGUACUUGACUUGUCGGUGUGUGUGUCAAGAUGGGAUUGACCACUCCAAUUCAGGAGCUGUGUAUAGUUGUAUUUCAAUUUAGAAAAAUCUUGGCCAGGGUAGUCCUAGUGAGGAGUCACAGGACUGAUUGAGUUGAGCAUGACUCGGAUGAUCUA